UUUUUCCAGGGGUUUCAGGUGAUCUUAAUUCCCAGAGAUGUUUUGCUAAUUUUCAUGCCAUUUCUUGCUUUUGAUCAUUAUCAAUUAGAGCUUUGCUAAUUUUAGAUUCGAUCAAACCCUUCCAUUCAUGACCUUCAUCGGAGCUCAAGAGCCCACUGGUCGUUCCUGGCAACAAAUGCUCCCCUUUUUUCCAACUGCUGAUACACCUGAUAGUAUUAUCAUCAACAGUUUUCAGCGCAACUCCCCUGCUGCUGUCACCAGCGGUGAGCCAAGUUAUAGGUGUUUGCACACUUGGUCACCUGAGUUCUUCUGAUAGAUGACAUCUAUCUCAAGUUGAGACAAUCAAAAUAACGGCCAGUAUAUGUAUCUGUACCCAAUUUUACCUUGGUUGAUUUUCCAUGGGCAGCUGAAUUAUUGUUGUGAGUGCAAAUGUUGGCAUUACCGUUUUGCAAUGAGGUUAUCUUCCUUUCAUCACUAAAAUACUCACAGUCAAGAUUUCCUUUGGUUGCAUACCAGCAAAAUGCAGCUUUUGGUUUUGACCAAAGCUUUUUCGAUAGCUACUGCAGUUUGAGAGUAUCCAAGCAAUUCUAUAUAUCAAGGGCUGUUGGUACAUGAGAUGGGUUAUUAGAAGCAUGGUAGACGGAAGUUGGCCAGACCCUUCAGGAAGCAACACAAACAAUGGAACUCGUCUUGUUAGAGCAAUCCAGAAUUUCCAAAUCAAAUUAAAUUCCAAGCUCCAAGAGCUGAGGAAAGGCCUAGUAAUGAAGGUUCUUUUCUUCUUACUAGGUUUUUAUUGUGCGGCCGCAUUUACAACAGUU